GUCCCUCACUGUCGGAAGGUUGGGGAAACGAAGGCUCGACCAUUGUGAUCGAGCUAAUUCCUUUCUCUUUGGCACAACUGGGGGUGAAGGCGUGGUUGAGCCCCCAACAUUGAUCAUGAGAUUGUGGAUCUGUACAAUCUUAUUGCUAUGAUUGUGAAGUUUGACAUGGACUCACUCUUGCUUUUCCCCUCACACCUCAGGAAAAAGUUUAGGCUUGUGAUCAACCAGUCAGUUUGGAUCUUGUAGAGUGGAGUUAAUACCUGAAGUUUGGAGUUGUCUAUCCUCUGUUUGCUAUCAAAGGUUCUCUUUUAUACUAUGUACGUUAUGUAAUAAGCAUUUUGAUUUGAUACUACCCCUC
rnacentral:lncRNA from 1 species